GAGUUUGAUCCUGGCUCAGGAUGAACGCCGGCGGUGUGCCUAAUACAUGCAAGUCGUACGCACUGGCCCAACUGAUUGAUGGUGCUUGCACCUGAUCGACGAUGGAUCACCAGUGAGUGGCGGACGGGUGAGUAACACGUAGGUAACCUGCCCUGUACAGGGGGAUAACAAUCAGAAAUGACUGCUAAUACCGCAUAAGACCACAGCACCGCAUGGUGCAGGGGUAAAAACUCCGGUGGUACAGGAUGGACCCGCGUCUGAUUAGCUGGUUGGUGAGGUAACGGCUCACCAAGGCGACGAUCAGUAGCCGGCUUGAGAGAGUGAACGGCCACAUUGGGACUGAGACACGGCCCAAACUCCUACGGGAGGCAGCAGUGGGGAAUAUUGCACAAUGGGGAAACCCUGAUGCAGCAACGCCGCGUGAGUGAAGAAGUAUUUCGGUAUGUAAAGCUCUAUCAGCAGGGAAGAAAGUGACGGUACCUGACUAAGAAGCCCGG
rnacentral:rRNA from 1 species